rnacentral:ncRNA from 1 species
UAAAGUUUUAUUUUAAGUUUGCAAAAUUAGAUUAAGUUUUGAUUCAUAUGAAAAUUAUAGUAUUAAAUUUUUAAUAAAUUAAAAAUUCAGUGGAUAGUUUUAUAAUAUUAAUGAAAAUUAGAUUUAGAAGAGUUUUUAGUAUUAACAAAAUUUGUGCCAGCAGUUGCGGUUAUACAGAUAAUACAAUUUAAUUUAUUUAAGUUUUAAAGAUUAGUAGUAUUAAUAAAUUUAUUAUAUAGAUUAUUAGGUGAAAUUUUAAUUUAUAGGAAAAUUUAAAUUUAUAAUUUAAGAAAAUUUUUUAGUAGACUAGGAUUAGAUACCCUAUUAUUAUAAUUGUGAAUUUGGAACUUGAUUAGUAUUAGUGAAGAUCUUAAAAAUUAAAAAAUUUGGCGGUAUUUUAGUCUAUUCAGAGGAACCUGUUCUGUAAACGAUAAUCCACGAGUUAAUUAACUUUAUUUAUAAAUUUGUAUAUCGUUGUGGUUAGAUUAUUUUUGAAGAAUAUUAAUAUUCAAGGUUAAUUUUAUUAGGAAAUUCAGAUCAAGGUAUAGUUUAUAAUAAAGAAGAAAUGGGUUACAAUUUUUAAUAGAAUAAGAUUUAUAAUUGAGAGUUAUAAUAAAUUUGGAUUUGAUUGUAAUUUUUAAGGAAAUUUUAAAAAUGAUUAUAGCUCUAAAAUAUGUACAUAUCGCCCGUCGCUUUCAUUCUAAAAUGAAAUAAGUCGUAACAAAGUAGUUUUACUGGAAAGUGAGUCUAGAAAGGC